rnacentral:rRNA from 1 species
AACAGUUCGAAAGGACUGCUAAUACCGGAUGUGAUCGCGGAGAUUAGAGGCUCUGUGAUUAAAGGAGAAAUUUCGCUUCGAGAGGGGCCUGCGUCCCAUCAGCUAGUUGGUAAGGUAAAGGCUUACCAAGGCGAUGACGGUAGGGACCUGAGAGGGUUGGCCCCCCCACAAUGGAACUGAAACACGGUCCAUACACCUACGGGUGGCAGCAGUAGGGAAUAUUGCAUAAUGGGCGAAAGCCUGAUGCAGCAACGCCGCGUGUGCGAUGAAGGCCUUCGGGUCGUAAAGCACUUUUGGAGGGGAUGAGGAAGGACAGUACCCUUCGAAUAAGCUUCGGCUAACUACGUG